GAGUAGCUGGGACUACAGGCACUCAUCACCACACCUGGCUAAUUUUUGUAUUUUUAGUAUUUUCUGGUGAGGGUCCAGGUUUCCGGAAACAACUCAGAGACAUAUGUUAAGAUGUUAUCUUUAGUUUUCACAGGGAACCAAAUAUGUUACGACUCCAAUUUCCUUGGCUAUUGUUUUAAGUUACCAUUACCUUCUCGUUGAUCAAGUUGCUCAUUUACUUCUCAAGCCUAGCUAGAUGCCUGGAAUUUCCCUUGAAGGAAGUCAAGAUUUUCCUUUAUCUCCAUACUGGCUGAUGGUGAUCGAGUAAGCCCCUAAGAGGGGUCCCUGCUCCAUCUCGAGAUGCUGCUAGAUUCUACAGUGCCUAAUAAACAGCUCUCGCCUGGCCGACAAAGAGCUGCUUGCUCUCUGGAUAGCAAUUCCAAAGUGAACAGACAACAUCCUGUUUGGAAGACUGCCACUCUGUUAGAAGAAGCAUCAGGAAAACCUUUCUUUUGAGCUAUUUAUAACUAACAGCAAUUGACCAAGUAUACUUUUGUGAGUGAAACUGACCUUUCUCCCUGAACCAUUGGAGAUACUCAUUACUCUUUGAAGGCUUACAGUGGAAUGAAUUCAAAUACGACUUAUUUGAGGAAUUGAAGUUGACUUUAUGGAGCUGAUAAGAAUCUUCUUGGAGAAAAAAAGACUGGUACUUCUGAAUUAACCAAAAUCACAGUAUUCUGAAGAUGAUUCUACAAAGCCUGCUGUUUCUACAAAGGCUGCUGAUGAUUUCUACAAAGCCUGCUGUAGUGUUGCUGUGGCCUCUGCUUAAAAAAGUAGAAAACACAUUGAUGCAGCAUGUUCACCCCAACCUCCCUGCCUAAAGGCUCAGGGACCAUCUUGGAAGAGGAAGGCGCGUGAGAUUGUAAGAGCCGAAUUAGGGGGAUGGAGUGUGGAGAAUAAGGACACUUCAUCUUGGAUGCUCACCUGCCAAAUUGACUUCUGAUGAAAGCCAGCUCCAGAAAUGUGCCUACAGUUACUACUUUCACCUAAACCCUGCCCUUAGUCAAAUCCUUCUCUUCUUCUAAGCAAUCAACUUCAAUUCCUUGUAUAACCCACAGUAUAAAAGGGCUUUUAUACCAUUCUAUCCUAUUGCAUGUAAGCCUUGGGUCUGGGAGGUAACAGUGUGGGAUUCCACCAUCUCAUCUCCCUGCCACCCAAACAUGCCUGCUCUUCUUUAAGCAAUAUUAAAUGUUUGUACUUCAGAAA
rnacentral:lncRNA from 1 species